GGCUUCGUGGUCUAGAGGUAUGAUUCUCGCUGUAAGUCGCAAACACUGUCCUUCACUCAUAGAUGAAGCCCACUAACCCCAGCAUAGUAGGGAAAACCUAAGGUAAAUAUGCGAGAGGUCCCGGGUUCAAUUCCCGGCGAAGCCC